GACGAACGCUGGCGGCGUGCUUAACACAUGCAAGCCGAACGGAAAGGCCCUGCUUUUGUGGGGUGCUCGAGUGGCGAACGGGUGAGUAACACGUGAGUAACCUGCCCUUGACUUUGGGAUAACUUCAGGAAACUGGGGCUAAUACCGGAUAGGAGCUCCUGCUGCAUGGUGGGGGUUGGAAAGUUUCGGCGGUUGGGGAUGGACUCGCGGCUUAUCAGCUUGUUGGUGGGGUAGUGGCUUACCAAGGCUUUGACGGGUAGCCGGCCUGAGAGGGUGACCGGCCACAUUGGGACUGAGAUACGGCCCAGACUCCUACGGGAGGCAGCAGUGGGGAAUAUUGCACAAUGGGCGGAAGCCUGAUGCAGCAACGCCGCGUGCGGGAUGACGGCCUUCGGGUUGUAAACCGCUUUCGCCUGUGACGAAGCGUGAGUGACGGUAAUGGGUAAAGAAGCACCGGCUAACUACGUG
rnacentral:rRNA from 1 species